UACGUAGGUGGCAAGCGUUGUCCGGAUUUAUUGGGUUUAAAGGGUGCGUAGGCGGUCUAUUAAGUCAGUGGUGAAAUAUCGCAGCUUAACUGUGAGGGUGCCAUUGAUACUGAUGGACUUGAGUGAAGUCGAAGUAGGCGGAAUUGACGGUGUAGCGGUGAAAUGCUUAGAUAUCGUCAAGAACACCGAUAGUGAAGACAGCUUACUAGGCUCAUACUGACGCUGAGGCACGAAAGUGUGGGGAUCAAACAGG
rnacentral:rRNA from 1 species